rnacentral:rRNA from 1 species
GUAAGUAAGCUACUAAGGGCGUGCGGUGGAUGCCUAGGUGCCAAGAGGCGAUGAAGGACGUGGGUGGCUGCGAAAAGCUCCGGGGAGUUGCCAACCGAACGUUGAGCCGGAGAUGUCCGAAUGGGGAAACCCAGCGCGGUGAAAGCCGCGUUACCUCAGCCUGAAUCCAUAGGGCUGAAGGAGCGA